AUAAAUAAACUAUCGGUAUAUCUGCCCAGUGAAUCUUCAACGGCCGCAGUAUUCUAACUGUGCUAAGGUAGCAAAAUAAUUAGUUUCUUAAUUGGAAGCUCGUAUGAAAGAAUCGACGAGGGACUCACUGUCUCGAUAAUUCUAAUAACUUACUAUAAAGGUAAAAAAGCCUUAAUAUGCUAAUGGGACGACAAGACCCUAUAAAACUUUACUUCUCCUCUUAAACUAAUUUAACCUCUAUAAGAUUCGAGUUAUGCUGGGGCGGCAAUUCUUAACUUAAACAUUUAACAUCUUAACACCCUUUGUGAACUUAUAAAACCCUUCUAAGUAAUAAAGAGCAAGUUACUUUAGGGAUAACAGCGUAAUAUUUCUAUAGAGCCCUUAUCGACAGAAAUGCUUUCGACCUCGAUGUUGAAUUGAAGAAUCCUUACAGAGCAG
rnacentral:rRNA from 1 species